UACGUAGGCAGCAAGCGUUGUUCGGAAUUACUGGGCGUAAAGAGUGUGUAGGCGGUGCUCUAAGUUCGGUGGUGAAAUCUCCCGGCUUAACUGGGAGGGUGCGCCGGAAACUGGAGUGCUCGAGCGUGGGAGAGGAAAGCGGAAUUCCUGGUGUAGCGGUGAAAUGCGUAGAUAUCAGGAGGAACACCUGCGGUGUAGACGGCUUUCUGGACCAUUGUUGACGCUGAGACACGAAAGCGUGGGUAGCAAACAGG
rnacentral:rRNA from 1 species